rnacentral:ncRNA from 1 species
UAUCAACAUCAGGAGUGGUUUCAUAGUUGAAACCCACCAACCGAGCCUAGAUAAAUCAGGGAUCCGGUGGUUAGACCUCUAAAUGGUAGAUGUGCCCAGGAAAAUGGGAAACAUAAUAAGCCACCU